rnacentral:tRNA from 1 species
GGGACUGUGGCUCAGUGAUAAAGCAUCGACUUCACAUGCAGAAGGUCCCAGGUUCAAUCCCCAGAAUCUCCA